rnacentral:misc_RNA from 1 species
AAUUCUCAACCUUUCCGGCUUUUUCGAAGGCUAGUUGGGCUUGGAUCGUGGAAGUUGCUGGUUCUUGGAAAUCAGCUCUUCUCAAAUACAUUAGCAGUCCUUUGCUGACGAUCAUUGGUAUGAUAAUUAUCUAUAUCAUUGAGAAACAGCCUCCCUAGUGGAGAGGUUCCGCUUCUAAUCGUCUUCACAAGACAACUUGACAA